GUGGGGAAUAUUGCACAAUGGGCGAAAGCCUGAUGCAGCAACGCCGCGUGAGGGACGACGGCCUUCGGGUUGUAAACCUCUUUUAGUAGGGAAGAAGCGAAAGUGACGGUACCUGCAGAAAAAGCACCGGCUAACUACGUGCCAGCAGCCGCGGUAAUACGUAGGGUGCAAGCGUUAUCCGGAAUUAUUGGGCGUAAAGAGCUCGUAGGCGGUCUGUCGCGUCUGCUGUGAAAACUGGAGGCUCAACCUCCAGCCUGCAGUGGGUACGGGCAGACUAGAGUGCGGGAGGGGAGAUUGGAAUUCCUGGUGUAGCGGUGGAAUGCGCAGAUAUCAGGAGGAACACCGAUGGCGAAGGCAGAUCUCUGGGCCGUAACUGACGCUGAGGAGCGAAAGCGUGGGGAGCGAACAGGAUUAGAUACCCGAGUAGUCC
rnacentral:rRNA from 1 species